GACAGAGGGUGCAAACGUUGUUCGGAAUUACUGGGCGUAAAGCGUGUGUAGGCGGCCAUGUAAGUCAGGUGUGAAAGCCCCGGGCUUAACCCGGGAAGUGCACUUGAAACUGCGUGGCUUGAGUAUCGGAGAGGUUGGUGGAAUUCUCGGUGUAGAGGUGAAAUGCGUAGAUAUCAGGAGGAACACCGGUGGUGUAGACGGCUUACUGGACCAUAACUGACGCUGAGACACGAAAGCGUGGGUAGCAAACAGG
rnacentral:rRNA from 1 species